rnacentral:misc_RNA from 1 species
GAUGAAGAACGUAGCGAAAUGCGAUAAGUAAUGUGAAUUGCAGAAUUCAGUGAGUCAUCGAAUCUUUGAACGCACAUUGCGCCCUGUGGUAUUCCGCAGGGCAUGCCUGUUCGAGCGUCAUUUCAACCCUCAAGCCCCGCUUGGUGUUGGGCCCCGCCCGCUGUGGCCGGCCCUAAAGACAGUGGCGGCGCCGCCUGGCCCUCAGCGUAGUACAUCUCUCGCUCCAGGGUCCGGUGGCCGCCUGCCAGAACCCCCCAACUCUGUGGUUGACCUCGGAUCAGGCAGGGAUACCCGCUGAACUUAAGCAUAUCAAUAAGCGGAGGA